rnacentral:rRNA from 1 species
CGUGUAGGCGGAUGGGAACGUCGGUAGUUGAAAGCCCCCGGCUCAACCGGGGAAGUGGUGCCGAAACGACCCGUCUGGAGGGACGUAGGGGGAUCUGGAACUUCCGGUGGAGCGGUGAAAUGCGUUGAGAUCGGAAGGAACGCCCGUGGCGAAAGCGAGAUCCUGGACGUCUACUGACGCUGAGACGCGAAAGCUAGGGGAGCAAACG